AAUGGAAAGGUCUGCAUCCUGCUGGUUACUCUUCUGCAGCACAGGAGAAAGGCAAGGAUGGACAGAGGCAUGUGUGUGAGCAGGGGGGAACAAGGAUGCCUGUGUGCCUGCAGGAUAUGAGGAGAAACAGAGGGUGCCAGAGCUGCCAAGUUAAAAGCGUAAGCUUCAAAACUGACAUUGACCCUAUUUAUUAGCAUAAUAAUGGGCUUGCUGUGGUUCCCGUGGCUUUCCAGGAUUGCAGAGAGCUGAAUGAGACCUCAAUACAAUAGACACCAAAGUUCUGGAUUUUCACUUCCUCCAACAGAAAGCAAACAAGUGUCAGAGCAAGCAAGAAUCAGAUCUCAAACCCCAGUAGGUCUGGCCUCCUCUGAUGGAAUUUCC